rnacentral:rRNA from 2 species
CAGUCGAACGAUGAUGCCCAGCUUGCUGGGUGGAUUAGUGGCGAACGGGUGAGUAACACGUGAGUAACCUGCCCCUGACUCUGGGAUAAGCGUUGGAAACGACGUCUAAUACUGGAUAUGAUCACUGGCCGCAUGGUCUGGUGGUGGAAAGAUUUUUUGGUUGGGGAUGGACUCGCGGCCUAUCAGCUUGUUGGUGAGGUAAUGGCUCACCAAGGCGACGACGGGUAGCCGGCCUGAGAGGGUGACCGGCCACACUGGGACUGAGACACGGCCCAGACUCCUACGGGAGGCAGCAGUGGGGAAUAUUGCACAAUGGGCGAAAGCCUGAUGCAGCAACGCCGCGUGAGGGAUGACGGCCUUCGGGUUGUAAACCUCUUUUAGUAGGGAAGAAGCGAAAGUGACGGUACCUGCAGAAAAAGCACCGGCUAACUACGUGCCAGCAGCCGCGGUAAUACGUAGGGUGCAAGCGUUGUCCGGAAUUAUUGGGCGUAAAGAGCUCGUAGGCGGUUUGUCGCGUCUGCUGUGAAAUCCCGAGGCUCAACCUCGGGCUUGCAGUGGGUACGGGCAGACUAGAGUGCGGUAGGGGAGAUUGGAAUUCCUGGUGUAGCGGUGGAAUGCGCAGAUAUCAGGAGGAACACCGAUGGCGAAGGCAGAUCUCUGGGCCGUAACUGACGCUGAGGAGCGAAAGCAUGGGGAGCGAACAGGAUUAGAUACCCUGGUAGUCCAUGCCGUAAACGUUGGGCGCUAGAUGUAGGGACCUUUCCACGGUUUCUGUGUCGUAGCUAACGCAUUAAGCGCCCCGCCUGGGGAGUACGGCCGCAAGGCUAAAACUCAAAGGAAUUGACGGGGGCCCGCACAAGCGGCGGAGCAUGCGGAUUAAUUCGAUGCAACGCGAAGAACCUUACCAAGGCUUGACAUACACCGGAAACGGCCAGAGAUGGUCGCCCCCUUGUGGUCGGUGUACAGGUGGUGCAUGGUUGUCGUCAGCUCGUGUCGUGAGAUGUUGGGUUAAGUCCCGCAACGAGCGCAACCCUCGUUCUAUGUUGCCAGCGGGUUAUGCCGGGGACUCAUAGGAGACUGCCGGGGUCAACUCGGAGGAAGGUGGGGAUGACGUCAAAUCAUCAUGCCCCUUAUGUCUUGGGCUUCACGCAUGCUACAAUGGCCGGUACAAAGGGCUGCGAUACCGUAAGGUGGAGCGAAUCCCAAAAAGCCGGUCUCAGUUCGGAUUGAGGUCUGCAACUCGACCUCAUGAAGUCGGAGUCGCUAGUAAUCGCAGAUCAGCAACGCUGCGGUGAAUACGUUCCCGGGCCUUGUACACACCGCCCGUCAAGUCAUGAAAGUCGGUAACACCCGAAGCCG